UAGCUAAAUUCCUGUUUUUUCUGUCCUUCAAUGCGCGCGAGGUCAAGACAGGCUGUGAAGCUAUACAAAAAGUUGUUGGCAGAGUUAUUUUCCCGUAAUCAGGAUGCUAAACCAAUUGAUAGGAAAAUUGGUAAGCUUUGUGAAUAUGCUUCGAAAAACCCAUUACGAAUUCCCAAGUAUCUCAGGAAGGAUUGCAUUUAUCUUGUCAAUCUGAAAUGAUACGAAACAGUAUUGGGUUCGGGCUCCUGAAAUGAUCUGGUAAUCAUUAUAAGCCGGCUGGAUAUCAGUGAUUUGCUACUUAAUUUUGUGGAGAAAAUGUUUGAAGCUCAGUUGCGAAACUGCAGUUGAAAAGAUUACUUUAGAUGAUGUAUGGGUUUUGCAUAUCAUGCUGAGUGCAACAGUUCAUGAUGUGUUAUACUACAUGAGCCCCAUCUACUGUCAGGAUAUUAUCAACUCGGUUCAUGAUAGUCUUUCUAAAGCUUUAGACCAUAAUUAGAUGGGUUGUUUUGUAGUAGUGGAUACCUGAUCCACUAUCUAAGUUUUGCCAAAGUAGUAUACGUCUAAGUUUCCUAUCAAAAAAAGUUUUAAAAUUGCUUCUCAUCCUAUGCACACUAAACUGGAACAUUGGUCUGUUGGAGAUAUCUUGAGCAUAGACGGUCACAUCUUGAACAUAGACAGCCAAAGCAACCCAUUUCUGAAAAGCUUGAACCUAUGCUAGAUGAUGAACCAAAGAGUUAUACCCCUUAUAUUAAGUAUCCAAAGCUCGAAUUCAAGGUUCACACAUUCUUUGCUGUUGGAUCACAUCUUGGUGUCUUCCUUGCCCUCCGAAAUGUCCAUAUUGGAAUAGGAAAAGGGCAAGAUUAUAUGGAUGAAGAAAAUAUAAUUGAAGAGAUGCUGGUUUGUCGUCAAAUGUUCAACAUUUUUCACCCAUAUGAUCCUGUAGCAUAUAGAGUAGAACCACUUGUUUGUAAAGAGUUCCUCACCGUAUGUCCAGUUAUUAUCCCUUACCAUAGAGGUGGAAAGAGGCUGCAUAUAUGGGUUCCAGGAAUUUACUUAAGAUGUAGCUACUCGUUCUCAGGCAAUAGUGGACCAAUUCAACUCUGUAUGGUGGCAGAAAAUGCCGAAGAAAGAGAAGAAAGAUCAUAUGGUGUUAUAAUGAUGAAGAGGCUAACUGGAAGUGCAGAAGGACGGGUAGAUCACAUGCUUCAGGAUAAAACAUUUGAACAUCCUUAUUUACAAGCCAUUGGAUUGCAUACAAAUUAUUGGAGGGAUUACGACACCACCCUUUUCAUAUUGAAACACUUGUAUCGAGAUAUACUCGAAGACCUGCAUCUUCAAGUAAAGGCAACUCAAAGACCGGGAGUGCUUCCAUCGGUUGGUCUGAUCAAAGAGAAACAGUAGAAGAAGAACUUCCUCUGACAUUCUCCGACAGAAUGAUGGAUAGGACGCCUUCUCUCCCUCUUAUUUUUAUUGCCGGAGAGUAGAAGGAAAUAGCAUAAUAGCUUGCUUUUAUUCUUCAAAUGUACUUUUGAUAAGAAAACUUUCAUCACUAAACUUAACAAGAAGAUGCAAUGGGUGUAGAGGAAAGUACUUGUGGUCUAUACAGAGGGUUUAUGCUAUUUCCUUCCAGAGUAGAAGGAAAUAGCAUAAUAGCUUGCUUUUAUUCUUCAAAUGUACUUUUGAUAAGAAAACUUUCAUCACUAAACUUAACAAGAAGAUGCAAUGGGUGUAGAGGAAAGUACUUGUGGUCUAUACAGAGGGUUUAUGCUAUUUCCUUCCAGAGUAGAAGGAAAUAGCAUAAUAGCUUGCUUUUAUUCUUCAAAUGUACUUUUGAUAAGAAAACUUUCAUCACUAAACUUAACAAGAAGAUGCAAUGGGUGCAGAAGAAAGUACUUGUGGUCUAUACAGAGGGUUUCUGCGAGCAGCUGGUUCCAAAUCUCCCGAAGAUCGGCACCAGAUUGAAU